ensembl:lncRNA LINC00229 long intergenic non-protein coding RNA 229
GACCACCUAGAACUGCCUCCUUCCAAGCGACACUGGGGCUGGCUCCCCAUCUGAGCCGUCUGGAGACCCUGUGGCUGGCAGGCGACGCCGUCCCCCCGCCCAGGGCCAAGGGGGAGCAGGGCUGUGGAGAGCAUGACCCCCUUGUUAAACCACGUCUGCCUUUAUGCCUCGAUACACCACACAGAGAGAUGACGGGAGAUACCACCAAGAUGAGAUGCCAACCCGGGAGAGGCUCUGCAGGUCCCCUGGUGCCCACGUCUACCUGGCUUGUCCCCACAGGUGGGUUUUCUGAGACAAGGGGGCUUUUGGACACAGGUCUGUCCCCAGAGCCAGCCAGCAGCUCCAGAGAAGAGACAGCAGGUGCCCAGGACGAUGCGGCUUAGUUGCCAGGUUGCCACGAAACAUCCAAUAUUUGAAAGUGUUCUAUGGACCUCAAAGGGCAAGAGACACCUUAAAAUGUUUGCUGGAUGGCUGUAGGAGGGUAGAGCCCUGGUGGGCAC